CCAGCUGCUCCAGCACCGCACCACAGACUAAACCCUCCUCUUCCAGCAGCUGGUGGCAGUGGUGGAGACCUGGGCAGCAUGGGAGCAGAAAAGUCCAACUUUGGCAGUGCCAGUGAAAGUUCCCUCACAAUUCUUGUGGACAACUAAAGAUUUGAAGGACUACUUUGAAAAACCGCUGAUCAACCAAUAGUUGAUAAGAACUUUCAUCACAACUCUUGCGGACUCCAUUUUAAUUAGAGAUCUAGAAUGAAAAGGCGCUUUUCAGCCAGUUGUCAUUAGAAAUAACAUUUUAAUAAUAAAAAAAAUUAGAUGCAAUUAACUUCUUAUAUAUUGUAAGAAAUGGCUUUUCCUAUGUGAAAUUUCAUGUAAUUUGAAAAGAAAAAUACUCUUAAUUUAAGAAUUAUCCUCUUUAAAAGCAAGGUAAUAGAAGCUUUUCUUUCAAAAGACUUUUGCUACAGCACUGCAUU